rnacentral:rRNA from 1 species
GACGAACGCUGGCGGCGUGCUUAACACAUGCAAGUCGAACGGAAAGGCCUGCAGCUUGCUGCGGGUACUCGAGUGGCGAACGGGUGAGUAACACGUGGGUGAUCUGCCUUGCACUUCGGGAUAAGCUUGGGAAACUGGGUCUAAUACCGGAUAGGACAGCUGUUUAGUGUCAGUUGUGGAAAGUUUUUUCGGUGCAAGAUGAGCUUGCGGCCUAUCAGCUUGUUGGUGGGGUAAUGGCCUACCAAGGCGUCGACGGGUAGCCGGCCUGAGAGGGUGUACGGCCACAUUGGGACUGAGAUACGGCCCAGACUCCUACGGGAGGCAGCAGUGGGGAAUAUUGCACAAUGGGCGGAAGCCUGAUGCAGCGACGCCGCGUGGGGGAUGAGGGCCUUCGGGUUGUAAACUCCUUUCGACAGGGACGAAGCUUUUGUGACGGUACCUGUAUAAGAAGCACCGGCUAACUACGUGCCAGCAGCCGCGGUAAUACGUAGGGUGCGAGCGUUGUCCGGAAUUACUGGGCGUAAAGAGCUCGUAGGUGGUUUGUCGCGUCGUCUGUGAAUUCCGGGGCUUAACUUCGGGCGUGCAGGCGAUACGGGCUGACUUGAGUGCUGUAGGGGAGACUGGAAUUCCUGGUGUAGCGGUGAAAUGCGCAGAUAUCAGGAGGAACACCGAUGGCGAAGGCAGGUCUCUGGGCAGUAACUGACGCUGAGGAGCGAAAGCAUGGGUAGCGAACAGGAUUAGAUACCCUGGUAGUCCAUGCCGUAAACGGUGGGCGCUAGGUGUAGGGGGCUUCCACGUCUUCUGUGCCGUAGCUAACGCAUUAAGCGCCCCGCCUGGGGAGUACGGCCGCAAGGCUAAAACUCAAAGGAAUUGACGGGGGCCCGCACAAGCGGCGGAGCAUGUGGAUUAAUUCGAUGCAACGCGAAGAACCUUACCUGGGCUUGACAUAUACAAGACAGGCGUAGAGAUACGUCCUCCCUUGUGGUUUGUAUACAGGUGGUGCAUGGUUGUCGUCAGCUCGUGUCGUGAGAUGUUGGGUUAAGUCCCGUAACGAGCGCAACCCUCGUCUUUAGUUACCAGCAAGUAGAGUUGGGGACUCUAGAGAUACUGCCGGUGAUAAACCGGAGGAAGGUGGGGAUGACGUCAAAUCAUCAUGCCCUAUAUGUCUUGGGCUACACACGUGCUACAAUGGUCUGAACAAAGCGCAGCGAACUCGUGAGGGUAAGCAAAUCGCAGAAAACAGAUCUCAGUUCGGAUUGUAGGCUGCAACUCGCCUACAUGAAGUCGGAGUUGCUAGUAAUCGUGGAUCAGAAUGCCACGGUGAAUGCGUUCCCGGGUCU